GAAAUAUGUGAUUCAAAAUGAAACUUCUAAUUUCAAAUUUAUUCAGUGAAACUCCGUUUAUAUUUCU
rnacentral:tRNA from 1 species